rnacentral:rRNA from 1 species
AGAUAAUAGAUACCCGGGUAGUCCCAGCUGUAAACGAUGCAGACUCGGUGAUGAGUUGGCUACAUGCCAUCUCAGUGCCGCAGGGAAGCCGUUAAGUUUGCCGCCUGGGGAGUACGGUCGCAAGACUGAAACUUAAAGGAAUUGGCGGGGAGCACCACAAGGGUGAAGCCUGCGGUUCAAUUGGAGUCAACGCCGGAAAUCUUACCGGGGGCGGACAGCAGUAUGAAGGUCAAGCUGAAGACUUCACCAGACAAGCUGAGAGGAGGUGCAUGGCCGUCGCCAGCUCGUGCCGUGAGGUGUCCUGUUAAGUCAGGUAACGAGCGAGACCCCUGCCUCUAGUUGCUACCUUUACUCUCAGGAGUAGUGGAGCUAAUUAGAGGGACUGCCGUCGCUGAGACGGAGGAAGGAGGGGGCUA